GGAAUGCGAUAAGUAGUGUGAAUUGCAGAAUUCAGUGAAUCAUCGAAUCUUUGAACGCAUAUUGCGCCCCUUGGUAUUCCAUGGGGCAUGCCUGUUCGAGCGUCAUUUGUACCCUCAAGCUCUGCUUGGUGUUGGGUGUUUGUCCCCGUCUCCGCGCGUGGACUCGCCCCAAAGUGAUUGGCAGCCGGCGUACUGGUCCCGGAGCGCAGCACAUGUCGCGCAAACGAGUGCCUUGGUACGGCGGCGUCCAUAAGCCCCUCUCUCACGCUCUUGACCUCGGAUCAGGUAGGGAUACCCGCUGAACUUAAGC
rnacentral:misc_RNA from 1 species